rnacentral:rRNA from 1 species
GUUUAUCAAAAACAUGUCUUUUUGAAUUUAAUUUAAAGUCUAACCUGCCCACUGAAAUUUAAAUGGCCGCAGUAUUUUAACUGUGCAAAGGUAGCAUAAUCAUUAGUCUUUUAAUUGAAGGCUGGAAUGAAUGGUUGAAUGAAAUAUUAACUGUUUCAUAAAAGUUAUAAAUAAAAUUUUAUUUUUUAGUUAAAAAGCUAAAAUUUUAUUAAAAGACGAGAAGACCCUAUAAAUCUUUAUAUUUUAUUGGGGUGAUAUUAAAAUUUAAUUAACUUUUAAUUUAUAAAUUACAUAAAUUAAUGAAUUAUUGAUCCAUAUAUAAUGAUUAUAAAAUUAAGUUACUUUAGGGAUAACAGCGUAAUUUUUUUAGAGAGUUCAUAUUGAUAAAAAAGAUU